rnacentral:rRNA from 1 species
UACGUAGGGGGCAAGCGUUGUCCGGAUUUACUGGGCGUAAAGAGCGUGUAGGCGGCCAAGCAGGUCCGUUGUGAAAACUGGAGGCUUAACCUCCAGACCGUCGACGGAAACCGCGUGGCUAGAGUCCGGAAGAGGAGAGUGGAAUUCCUGGUGUAGCGGUGAAAUGCGCAGAUAUCAGGAAGAACACCAAUGGCGAAGGCAGCUCUCUGGGACGGUACUGACGCUGAGACGCGAAAGCGUGGGGAGCGAACAGG